rnacentral:rRNA from 1 species
UACGGGGGGAGCAAGCGUUGUUCGGAUUUACUGGGCGUAAAGGGCGCGUAGGCGGCCAGCACAAGUCAGUUGUGAAAUCUCCGAGCUUAACUCGGAAAGGUCAACUGAUACUGUGCGGCUAGAGUGCGGAAGGGGCAACUGGAACUCUUGGUGUAGCGGUGAAAUGCGUAGAGAUCGGGAGGAAGGCCGGUGGCGAAGGCGGCGCUCUGGAACGUACCUGACGCUGAGACACGAAA